UGCCAGGCUACAAGGGACACCAACAUGCAUCAUCCUGGCCCAGCCAGCCUGUCAAGCCACCCAGCCACUCAGGGUGAGCAGUCAUCCUUACGACUAGCCUUCUUAUUUAUUUAUAAGGCUGGUGACAGUGCUGAUAACUUCCCUUCAUCUGCAGGAGGAGCUGCUCCCAAGCCAAGAACCUUUCUCCUAUUCUGCCAAUAAGCUGGAAAAAGAGAUGACGGAGGAAGAAAUGGUACCCAAGUUUGUAUCCUGCCCUGUCUUUAAGGAGUUUUGGAAGUAUACAUUUCCCCCUCCCGCUCACACCUAUCCUCCUAACUAGAAUCAACUAGCUACAGUGAGCCAACAUGAUCCAUUCAUCAAAUAACUUAAAGAACACACCUUGGAUUGAAGAGCUGUUUUCACACAGUUGCCCUCAAAUCGGGAGUCCAAAAUAUCUCCAAGAAUAGAAGCUAAUAGAAACUUUUUGGAGUCCCCAAAAA